rnacentral:rRNA from 1 species
UACGAAGGGGGCUAGCGUUGUUCGGAAUUACUGGGCGUAAAGCGCGCGCAGGCGGUUCUUCAAGUCAGUGGUGAAAGCCCGGAGCUCAACUCCGGAACUGCCAUUGAAACUGUAGAACUUGAGGAUGAGAGAGGUGAGUGGAAUUCCCAGUGUAGAGGUGAAAUUCGUAGAUAUUCGCAAGAACACCAGUGGCGAAGGCGGCUCACUGGCCCGAUACUGACGCUGAGGUGCGAAAGCGU